rnacentral:rRNA from 1 species
CCCGCGGCUAGACGGAAAGACCCCGUGAACCUUUACUACAGCUUGGCACUGAACAUUGACCCUACAUGUGUAGGAUAGGUGGGAGGCUUUGAAGCACGUACGCCAGUAUGUGUGGAGCCGUCCUUGAAAUACCACCCUUGUAGUGUUGAUGUUCUAACGUCGACCCCUUAUCGGGGUUGCGGACAGUGCCUGGUGGGUAGUUUGACUGGGGCGGUCUCC